rnacentral:lncRNA from 1 species
AAUAGGGUCUGAUAAUGGACCGGCGUUCGUGGCCCAGGUAAAUCAGGGGUUAGCCAGGACCCUGGGGAUUAAUUGGAAGUUACAUUGUGCUUAUAGACCCCAGAGCUCAGGACAGGUAGAAAGAAUGAAUAGAACCAUUAAAGAGACCUUAACGAAAUUAAGCUUAGAGACCGGCAUAAAAGACUGGACUAUGCUCCUGCCUUAUGCACUGUUUCAUGCAAGAAAUAUUCCCUCUGUUUCUUUGUGUAACCUCACCCUCUAUGAAAUUCUCUAUGGUGCCCCUCCUCCAAUAAGGGACCUAACCCCAACUCUAAGACCUAACGAUUCCUUUCACACCCCCUUGCUUGACAGACUUAAAGCUCUUGAAAGAACCCAGUGAUACCUGUGGAAACAGCUGGCCACUGCCUACCAACCUGGGGACGAAGGGACUCCACACCAAUAUCAAGUGGGAGACUUCGUCUAUGUAAGGUGACAUCAGGUGUCAUCCCUGGAACCCUGCUGGAAAGGACCAUACCAGGUGCUACUUAUAACACCUACAGCAGUAAAGGUAGACGGAAUCACUUCCUGGAUCCAUGCCUCUCAUCUCAAGCCUGCACCCUGUCCAGACUCUGGCUGGAAAUUGAAAAAGACUGGUAACCCUCUCAAAUUGCAUAUUUGCCAUGUGGAUAGGGCUAUGGACUCUCCCCUUGACCACCAGUAGUCCUAACCCUCAUCAGCCCGUUCAGCAGCGAUGGCUGAUCACAAAUCCUACUGGACAGGAAGUAUGGUCUAUCUCGCAUACAGCCCCCUUAGGGACCUGGUGGCCAUCUCUCCACCCAGACAUUUGUCAGUUGGCUAUGGGUCUUUCCUAUUGGGAUAUCCCUGAUGAAGAGGAUCCCACUAAAAUUUCAUUAAAUCCCUUCCGCACCAUAGAUAAUGGAAACAAACAUUAUGGAUGUAGAGACAUGCAAGCCAGAUGUAGGUUGGCUAGCCUAGAUUACUAUGUUUGCCCGGCGGACUAUGGAAGCCGCAAACAGUCACGGCUGUGUGGGGGAAAAGCUGACUUCUUCUGUAAGUCAUGGGGAUGUGCGCAUACAGGGGCUGCCUGGUGGAACCCAAACUCCCCUGAUAGUCUGAUUCGGGUAGGAAGAAAUAAUACUAAGUUAAGUCCCAAACAAUGUCUCCCAUUUAAAUGGCACCCCCAAACGGGGACUUCUGGACUAGCUGACCCUACUCCAUGUGACACAAGUAGCCUAUGUAACCCCCUAAAUAUAACCUUCACCUCCAAAGGAAGAAAUGGAAAUAUCUGGACAUGGCUUUCAGGAAAAACCUAUGGAAUGCGAUUUUACACCACAGGAUAUGAUUUUGGCCUUUGGUUCACUAUCCAGUUUGAAAGAAAAGAAAUUCCCUUAGCCAUAGAGACCAAUCCCCUCAAGCCAGGAAUUAGGCCUCAUAGACCUCCUGAACCUAAAUCUACUAGGGUCCCUUCACUUUCCCAUACUCCUCAAGUUUCACCUUCGUUUACUUCCCCA